UCUCUCUCUCUCGCCUGCAACUCCGGCCUUCUUCCUCCUCCGGCCACCUGACGACGCAAAGCAAGCAUUGAACUCGUCUCCGUCCCCCCUCUAGGUGCCUGUGGUGGUGUUUUGCGGUGGCUCAGCCCGAGGAGCUCGGAUUUGAGCUGUGAAGUUUACUGUAGCAAUCAGGAAGUUUGGUCGAUUUCCGGCGAUUCCGGCCAUUUCCAGCCACCAAACCAGCGUCGAAGGUCGGGUUUUUUCCAAGGAUCAUUUUCCCCCUAGCCUUGAGCCACGAUUUGCAGUGUAGAGGAGGAAUCGAAGAUUUGAAAUUUCGGGUUACUAUUCACCAUUCGGGUUCAAACUUCUCCUUAAUUGUUGAGGACGAGAUACCGACUCAUCACUUGACGAGGAGCCUUACGCUUGGAUACCACGUUAGCCGUAUACUUCUGCAGAGUAGCUGGUUCGGCAUAGUAGGAUUCGAGGCAUAGCAUCUGCUGCUGUUGUUUUCAUUGUGGGUUAACUGUUGCACCUCCCUGUAUUUAUUUUCUUUUUCUCUUUUAGAUUGCUCU